GGGGCUAUAGCUCAGCUGGUAGAGCGCCUGCCUUGCACGCAGGAGGUCUGCGGUUCGAUCCCGCAUAGCUCCACCA
rnacentral:tRNA from 1 species